rnacentral:tRNA from 1 species
GACCGAAUGAUGUAGUGGUUAGUGCCCCUGACUGCUAAGCCGAAGGUCCCGGGUUCGAUUCCCGGCUUGGGCA